GUGCUCACUUAGCACAUAAUGCUACAAUUGGAACAAUACAGAGAAGAUUAGCAUGGCCUCUGUGCAAAGAUAACAAAUUCAUGAAGCGUUCCAUAUUUAA
rnacentral:snRNA from 1 species